AAGAGUCUGUCUCUGUCAGUGAGGUAAGUCUCUGCAAAAAGAGAAAAUACAAACCGCACUCCAAUCAAGUGAAGAUCCGGGUGCUAAACUGGACAAAGGGCCAGCACCAGCCCCAGGGAGUAGAUAUCAGUAGUAGAAAGAGGAUCCAGGGACUCCAAGUAUCUUCAAAUGUGUUUAUUGGGACAAGUGAAAUGUCGCAACGUUUCAACCCCUGAAAGGGUCUUUUUCAAGCUUGACAAAGACCUUUCCAGAGAUCGAAACAUUGCGGUCUAUCACUUGUGCCAAUAAACACAUUUGAAGAUACUUGGAGUGCCAGGAUCCUCUUUCCACCAGUGAGGUAGGUCUUAAUGGAACGCCCUCUUUGGUAACCAUUAGGGCUCUUGGCAGGGUUCAUCGGUAUUCAAUGCCUGCUGAACAUAAUUGAUUUGUCACUGGUCCUAGUGAUCAGCCCCAUAGUAGAGUAUUGCAUGUUAGGUCUUGAUAGAAGGUGAGUUGAGAUGACUCAAAAGGUAAGCAGGGUCUUUCCCCUGACUCCUGCCAGGGUUUGUUUUUUGUCAUUUAAGGAUUGACAUUGGAUAAUAACAUAAUGGGAGGCCGUAGCUGGUGCCAUCAAACAUAAUAUUUUUUGCCUGUGCUUGCGGUAUGAGUAUGUUGGUGAGGCAUCUGAGGUAAUAAGGCAAUUCUGAUGGGCCAAUGGAAUAAGGGAUAACUUGAAAAUUGAGGUUGUUGCGUCUGGUACGGUCCUCAGACAGAUCAACUCUGGUUGUGAGAGAAAAUUGGGAAGACUGCAUCAUGUGUACAGUUUCUUUUAGGCCCUGUAUGUCUUGUCUCAGGUCUUGAAUGUCUUCUUCAGAAGAAUGAGUGUGUGCUGUCCCGGCUUGGACUUUGGUCCUUAUCAGAUGUAUAUCUGCAGCAUGAAUCUGUCGCUUUUCCUGUAGUAAAUCUGCAAUGUCUCAUUUAGUGGCAGGAGUUAUAUUAUUUCGACUUGCCAUCUCUGCCCAAGGUUAUCGGGUUAUGGGGGGCUCCAUCGGUACCUCCGUAGUCACCUCCAACCCGUUCGGGCUUUGUCUGUGGUCUGCCAACUUAGAUGUUGCAGUAUUUCCCCAAUAUUCAGGGUGUCUUUGCUCGCACCCGGUUGUGGUCUUUAAGAUCUCCUGCCCACGGUUUCUGUUUCCCUCAUGGAAAGCAUGCUCAGAGCCUGGGGUGAGUAUAGAGCUGUGGCUGUCGUUGCCUCCAGUGUGACCCUUUGUGAUAUGGAACAUGAGGUAGGCCCCAGAUCUUCGUCAGGUUUUCUUACCAGAUUGCUGGUACAGAAAUGGCAUUGGCGUGUGGUUCAUACCUAAGGGGUGUUAAGGCAAGUUUUCACACACUUGGAUGGCACUGUGGGACUUCAGAUUAUCGCUGAUUAGUAGAGAUGUCGCGAACUUCCCGCGAACGGCUCGCCACGGUUCGCCACGAACCGUUCGCGGCGAGCUCCGUUCAGCUGACACAUCCCAGCCAAUCUCCAGCAGACCCUCCUUCCCAGACCCUCCCACCUCCUGGACAGCAUCCAUGUUGAAGCUGCCUUCAACAUGGAUGCUGUCCAGGAGGUGGGAGGAUCUGGGAGGGAGGGUCUGCUGGAGAUUGGCCGGGAUGUGUCAGCUGACCGGAGCUCGCCACGAACGGUUCGUAGCGAACCGUGGCGAGCCGUUCGCGAGCCGUUCGUGGGAAGUUCGCGAACGAUUCGCGACAUCACUACUGAUUAGUCGACGAGUAUCAGGAGCUUUACUGAGUAGCUUCCAUUCCGCUCAGGCGCUCGGCGCCACCCCUUUUUUAAAAAUUUUUUUUACUGUAAUACACAAUUUUUUGGUUUGUGAUUUUAAAAAGUUUCAUUUAGCAACUCAUGCAAGAAGGGUCUCUUAGAAGAGUAUUACUCGAGUAUUUAAAUGGGAAUUGUCCAAUCUCAUGAAAUUACAUAAUUGAAUAAAAAGCUGAACAUCACCUAUAGUGCUCAUGCCAUUGUACAGACCACUGGUGAGACCUCACUUGGAGUAUUGUACGCUGUACUGGAGACUGUAUCUUCAGAAGGAUAUUGAUACUUUAGAGAGAGUUCAGAGAAGGGCUACUAAACUGGUUCAUGGAUUGCAGAAUAAAACUUACCAUGUAUAGCUUGGAGGAAAGACGAUACAGGGGGGAUAUGAUAGAAACAUUUAAAUACAUAAAGGCAAUCAACACAGUAAAGGAGGAGACUAUAUUUAAAAGAAGAAAAACUACUACAACAAGAGGACAUAGCCUCAAAUUAGAGGAGCAAAGGUUUAAAAAUAAUAUCAGGAAGUAUUACUUUACUGAGAGGGUAGUGGAUGCCUGGAAUAGCCUUCCAGCAGAAGUGGUAGAGGUUAACACAGUAAAGGAGUUUAAGCAUGUGGGAUAGGCAUAAGGCUAUCCUAACUAUAAAAUAAGACCAGGGACUAAUAAAAGUAUUUAGAAAAUUGGGCAGACUAGAUGGGCCGAAUGGUUCUUAUCUUCCAUCACAUUCUAUGUUUCUAUAACUUGUUUUAUAUUCUAAUUAUGUUUCAUUUUUUUUCUAAAUGUAUAUUACAGAUUUGUCGACUGACUUCAAUCCACUCACAGUCAGGGCACACGUUGCAUUGGGGGAGAAAAUCCAGAAGCAUUAUAUCUGUCUCUCCUCAACUCCCUAUUCUCAGUCAAUACUGACUGACAGGUGCAAAGGACAGAACUAAUAACAGUGACUGACAGGGAGCCAAGAUGGAGGCACAAAGUUCCAAUGAGGAAACUACAGCUUUGUGAAUUAAAGCAGUUGUGUCUAGCAUGUUAAAUGUUCUUAGGUUGGCCAAAAAAUGCCUAGAUGUUUUAAGCACUCAUUGAGUUAAUUCAUUUUUUAUUUGCACAAAUGACCUACAUUUUUUUUUUACCAGUUCUGCCUUGUGUAGAUCAUUUUGAGCUCUGGAGACACAUUGAACUUAUUUUACUUCUGGCCAAGAUUUCAUCAAGUGUUAUACAUACCGUAGCUAAUUUAAAA